GAGUGGCAAGCGUUAUCCGGAANUAUUGGGCGUAAAGCGUCCGCAGGCGGUCUUGUAAGUCUGUCGUUAAAGCGNGGAGCUUAACUCCAUUUCGGCGGUGGAAACUACAAGACUAGAGUGUGGUAGNGGCAGAGGGAAUUCCCGGUGUAGCGGUGAAAUGCGUAGAUAUCGGGAAGAACACCAGUGGCGAAGGCGCUCUGCUGGGCCAUAACUGACGCUCAUGGACGAAAGCCAGGGGAGCGAAAGGGAUUAGAUACCCCNGUAGUCCNGGCCGUAAACGAUGAACACUAGGUGUCGGGGGAAUCGACCCCCUCGGUGUCGUNNCCAACGCGUUAAGUGUUCCGCCUGGGGAGUACGCACGCNNGUGU
rnacentral:rRNA from 1 species